rnacentral:rRNA from 1 species
AUGGAUGGGAUGGACUUCCUGGCAGGAAUGGGCAUGAACGAGGAGGAUCUUAUGACGAUGGUGUUUGAAAAGAAUGUUGCUGAGCUGAGAGAAGACACGUUUGAUGGUUCUGAGGAGGAAAGACAAAUCUUUGAGGAGAUUUUCGGCUGCGGGCAGAACACUUCACAGCCAGGCGCAAGCAAAACAUCUAUACCGCCAUCCGGCUCUGCCUCCAGCGGCAAGAUGGGCUACUGCCGCAUAGUGGAGUCCUUCACUCAGGGCAACCUAUCGAGCUAUCAUGUCUUCGAUCACAGUGCUAGUCAACAAAUGCAGAACGCAAUGCCUUGCACAGAUCAUCAUGACAUGCCUUCUGAGCUCGUGGUACAGUCGACGCCACCUUCCAUCGAUCGGGUGUACACUCGCAGGGCGGUGACUCACAGCAGCCAGAGAGCAGAACUUUCCAGUGUCCUGGAUUUAGAGAGGGUUGACAUCACCAGCGUGAUCGCGCGGCGACCGGGCGGCUGUGGCUUUGGAAUGCUCUGGAACCAUCUCCGGCUGCACGCGCAUCUUCUGAUGCUGGACGCCGGGUGGAAGAUCGAGGGCAAGGAGAGGGGGAACAAGAGUAAGAUCGAGGGCAACAAGGAAAGGUGGAACAAGAGUAAGAUCGACCUCAUGUACGAGUCGCCCGACAAGCUCAUGCGCCUGGCUUCUCUUGCCAGGGCAUGGAAGUGCUUUGGUGAGUGGCUGCUUAUCCGUUCGUCCAGAGUUGAUGGAGAUGACUGUGGAAAGGAAUGGUCCAACAUGCACGACUUUCUGUGUGAUUUGAAGGACACGCUGCUGUGCUUGGAACACGAGGCCCGGCGCGCCGAGCAAUCCCUGUCUUUCAUGCACCAGUGGCGGCUGCUCGAUCCUUUCAUGGCGGUGGUUUGCAUCGAGAAGAAGGUCGCAGCGCUGCGGAAUGGGGUGCCACUGAAGGCUGUUAACAGCACAGUCUACAGCCCUCAGACAUAG